UGAGUAAUCUUUCAUGAAGAGCCAUCCAUAGAAAAUACUUGAUACGUUCUGUAACAUUUAAAUUCCAAAUAUACUUCCACUUGACAUCAAUAUUAGCAUCAUCAAAGCCACAAAUAAUGUUAUACAUCUCAGUAACUGAAUGUCUGCUACUACCAGCUCCUGCUCCUAAUUGCCGCGUAUCAGAUGGAGGCAAUAUAGCAGUGAUUUUAUGUAACAACUCGACCGGCAUCCAAACACGAAGCAAGCUCCAGUUCCAAUCACCAUGAAUAUCUACUAAAUCACAGACCUUAACAUCUUUAAUGUCGUCAGGUAUAUGAACAUCAAAAGGUCUUCAACACGCAGUCCCACUUGAAUCCACACGUUCUACCAAGCUUCAAUACUACGCCCAUUACCAACAACCCAAAAACAAUAAUCAUUCAACUUUGGACUAAGCUGAACUAUAUUUUUCAUAGACUAGAAUUUGAAACCUUUGUCUCAAUGUAUCCAUGAGCAACCUGGCAGCUAUAUUUACCA
rnacentral:lncRNA from 1 species